AGGCCGGUAUUGGGAGCCGGUGCUCCCCGCUGUCUGCAAAACAGUUGAGAAGGUACCCCCCUUCUGCCUGGUUCGACUCCGGGCCCGGCCUC
rnacentral:tRNA from 2 species